GGCCGAAUCGCCCUCCGCAGCGAAGGGAUCUGGCAGCGCAGCGAGAGUGCUCGUUCCUGAGGUUUUUGCUUAACAGUUUGGAGCCGAGUUUGGGAUAUGAAGCGACCUAGACACCUCCUGCGGAUUUCUGGACCUGCAGAAGCGAGCACCGCAGCCCGGGGUUGCUUCUCUUCCGGCGGCUCCUAUAAUCCCGGGCUGGGAGUGGGGGAUGACAGGUGCUUAUGAAGAUUACAACUUGAUUGUGUUACACCUUGAAAUUCUUCGAUACAGUUGUGCUUAAAUUUGAUGGUGGGUGUCUGGUGGUUUUCUUAAGCCACUCAUUUUCUGAUUAAUCCUUACAAGUGGAUGAUUUCUGCAACUGGUAUCUUCAAUGUAAUCUUAUCCUUAGAAGUUUCCAGUGAAGACAUGUGGAUUUGGAGAGAUUGGGGAACUUGAUCAAACUGACGUACCAGCAAGUAGCAGUUGUGAGGUUCAAGUCAUACUGCUCAACUCCAGAGCCCAGUUGACCACGACAUCAUAGACUUCGCAAAUAGUAGGUGCUCUGUCUCUGUGGAUUUGCCUCUUCUGGACAUUUCACACAAACGGAAUCAUACAAUAGGAGGUCUUUUGUGACUGGCUUGACUUGGUGUAACUUCCCAGUAAUGAGUUAUGACAUAUGUGAAAUGUUGUCUGUGAGAGAAGCUCAUUUAGAGACUGUGCCAGAAGUUCUUAAGGGGGCUCG